AUCUUUCAGGACAAAUGAAUCGAUGUAUGGAUGAUUCUUAUACAUCAAAAGGCAAAGAUACUAAUUAGGACUAUCUCAAUAAACGAUAUAAGUCCUGAAUAGUGAAUCCAUGGACAAUGGAUCGAUUGAAGAAGUAAUCUAAUGAGUUAGACUACAGAGACCUUCUUCACAUAACCAUUAUGUCCAAAAGGUUCCUGGUCGUUGGAUUGUCGGAGGGAUACUGACAAUGCUUAGACCGGUACAUACCUUGUCCGCUUCAAUUGGAAGGAUGGAAAGUCUCAACCCAUUCGUGUUGUGACACUAAGACAAGUAUGUAGGUGCUCAUUAAGGGAAUGAGUUCACUGAACACAAUCGAAUCAGAGUACUUGCAUGGAGGUCUACUCACAUGUCAAGCAAGUAACUCAAAUGGUUGGAAUAAUGUAAGUAAUCCUUAGACCUGAGGCAUCGUCGUUGUCUUGUGGUUAAGUACUUAAUCUUUGAUUAUGUCAACAUCACUCUAUUAGAAUGUCAACGGCAUAGUUGGGG
rnacentral:lncRNA from 1 species